rnacentral:rRNA from 1 species
UACGUAGGGAGCAAGCGUUGUCCGGAAUCAUUGGGCGUAAAGCGCGCGUAGGUGGCCUCAUAAGUCCGCUGUGAAAGUCAAAGGCUCAACCUUUGAAAGCCGGUGGAUACUGUGAGGCUAGAGUACGGAAGAGGCGAGUGGAAUUCCUGGUGUAGCGGUGGAAUGCGCAGAUAUUGGGAGGAACACCAGUGGCGAAGGCGGCUCACUGGACCGGUACUGACGCUGAUGCGCGAAAGCGUGGGGAGCAAACGGG